rnacentral:rRNA from 1 species
GUAGAACGCUGAAGAGAGGAGCUUGCUCUUCUUGGAUGAGUUGCGAACGGGUGAGUAACGCGUAGGUAACCUGCCUUGUAGCGGGGGAUAACUAUUGGAAACGAUAGCUAAUACCGCAUAACAAUGGAUGACUCAUGUCAUUUAUUUGAAAGGGGCAAUUGCUCCACUACAAGAUGGACCUGCGUUGUAUUAGCUAGUAGGUGAGGUAACGGCUCACCUAGGCGACGAUACAUAGCCGACCUGAGAGGGUGAUCGGCCACACUGGGACUGAGACACGGCCCAGACUCCUACGGGAGGCAGCAGUAGGGAACCUUCGGCAAUGGGGGCAACCCUGACCGAGCAACGCCGCGUGAGUGAAGAAGGUUUUCGGAUCGUAAAGCUCUGUUGUAAGUCAAGAACGAGUGUGAGAGUGGAAAGU